CAAUAGAAUUAUAUACAUUUAUAACCAUUCUCGAAGAAACUGUAAGUCUGACUUAUCUCAAUUAUGUUUAUGUAGUCAAUUGACAAAGUUUAUUGUAGCUUUGGAUAUUUCAUAAACGAUUUUUAAUAAGUAAGUUGGAUACUGAUAACCUCAUUGCACUUGACUUGACCCUGACUCUGAAUGUGUUUUUCUAUAAAACAUAACAUUUGAAGAAAUCUAAUGGAUAAUCUUAAACUAUACUAUGUGAAUGAGUUAGAAAUAACAGCCUAAAGCCGAUAGUAAUAAUAACAAUUGCAAAAGUACACAGUAGCACAAACGAGUUCGAAGUUUUGAUUGUCAAUAUUAUUAAUGUCAAUUGGCACAGGCACUCGCCUUAACUCAUACCUCGGUGUGGCCACGAAACAUGCGCCUCCUUGUUUACGCCUAUCAGCUCGGUCGCAGCCGUGUAUCUGAUACCCUGGGAGCACAAAUUCUGCGUUGUGAAUGCCUUCAUUGAGACCUGAUUCUGUGAUCGAAAAUAGAUCAAAACAAAACUUGAUGAUGCUAACCAGGAUAAAAAAUGUGUAGUCUUUGUUCUCAUUCAUCGCACAUUUUGGUAUAAAGUAUUAAUAUUAUUACCUCCUCUUUUUGUAGAAUUAUUUAGUUCUCCAUUUUCUUCUGACUUCCACCCAACCAUUAUUAAACAGUUUAAAGUCCACAUAAGUAGUUAGUACGGGCAGACGCCGGCGGCGCCGACUCAGGCCAGGCGCUCGCGCGAUGUUAUUAUUCACCCUCAUGCAGGUAUUUUAGAAUAAAACACUCGUAACAGCGGGUAUAGUUGGUAUCAGUCUCUCAAGUUCCAUAUUUUACAUUUGUUGCUCCUUCAAUUCUUGACUUUGUUUACUAUUUCCUAUAGCAAAUGUAGCUUGUAACGUCCCUGGGUCACAUUGGAGCAGGGCUCGCACUUAAAGGUACGUCUCAAUUGUACCUGACCGUCAUUAAAUGCAGCCGUGGUGAUAUUCGCGCAUUUGUAAUGGUAUCCAGCUUUGCAUCCAUUACAUUUAAUCAGCUCCCCGGCAGUGGGCUUUCUACCACAAGCAACACAUUUCGGUGCGAGCGAGACCGAUAGUAAAUUCCCGCAAGAGUGAAGAACGCGACUCGCGGCUCAAUUUUUUUGCGCUACCCGCGUUUUGUUUAUUGUCACUGCCCUUGUUAUAACACAGAAAAUUGUUAUAAAAUGUUAGAAUUUCACAAAACUAUCACUGUACUCCAUAUUCCACUGGUAUAUUGACUUAUAAAGUUCAAUUUAAACACAUUUUAUAGCUUUUAGUCUUAGUUAAACUAGCUUUAUACAAUUGUAAUCGGGAGCGUGCCCCGUCCGUGUAGGCGCUCCUCACCACUAUAAACUGUGCAGCUGUAUCUUUUUUGGUGCCGUUCCUGUUGCUUCUGCUAUGUCUCUUAACACAUCUGCUUUGUGUGCCUGCGUCUACCGUCACAUUGUUGCGGCGCUCCUCACCACUAUAAACUGUGCAGCUGUAUCUUUUUUGGUGCCGUUCCUGUUGCUUCUGCUAUGUCUCUUAACACAUCUGCUUUAUAAGUCUGUCUCUGCCGUCACAUUGUUCUUAUGGGCAGACGUGCUCAAUCGUAGGCCCCAUCAUCACUUACCAUCAGGUGAGAUAGCGGCCAAACGUCGGCCCAUUUAACAAUAAAAAAUAAAAAAAAAUUGUUGCUCCCGCCAGUCGCAUGUUUGGCCUCUUGUUUUUACAUACGUACUAGCACUCUGUGCAUUACUACUGUACUCAUUAACACUAAGUUUCUUUUUAGCUCCACAUUAGAGUUCAAUGACCUAUCAGUCUUAACUUUACUAAUAGUAAUUUCUUAAUUACGUUGAUCACCAAUGCAACCAGAAUCGUCAUCAUCAUCGCGGUCCAAGUUCCGCACCAAAUCUAACAUUUGCCGUAUACCGGCGAGGUCGGGGCCUGUAUUCUAUACGAGUCCCCGAACAUCAGGCUCAUUUCAGGAUUAUCAUCAUCCACGAGCAGUGAUUGGGAUGCAUCCCCUACCGCUAUAUCCUAGCCGCCUCACUGAUAAUGUUUUUGAGAGCGGUUGUAAUGUCAUCUUAGCUUGUUGCUUGUGUGUCCGACUCUGCCGUCACAUUGUUGCUUGGAACGUGACCCGUCCGUGUCGGCGCUCCUCACCACUAUAUACUGUGCAGCUGUAUCUUUUUUGGUGCCGUCUCUGUAGCUUCGCUAUAUCCCGCAAUACAUCUGCUUUGUGUGUCUGUCUCUGCAUCACAUUGUUGAUGUCGCCAGUCACAUGUUUGGCCUCUUGUUUUUACAUACGUACUAGCACUCUGUACAUUACUACUGUGCUCAUUAACACUACUUUCUUUUUAUCUCCACCGUUCAGCACGAAUUCAGGAACAUUAGGAUUCAAUGACCUAUCAGUCUUAACUUCACUAAUAGUAAUUUUGCAAUUACUUUGAUCGAAUCAAAGUAAUUAACCUUCUUAAACUUUAACCAGAAUCGUCGUCAUCAUCAUCGCGGUCCAAGUUCCGCACCAAAUCUAACAUUUGCCGUAUACCGGCGAGGUCGCGGCCUGUAUUCUCUGUCUGUGAUAGUCUUCUGUACGAGUCCCCGAACAUCAGGCUCAUUUCAGGAUCAUCAUCAUCCGUGAGCAGUGGUGGGAGCGGUGCAUCCACCACCACUAUAUUACUGUGCAGCUAUAUGAUUUUUUGGUGCCGCCCCUGUGGCUUCUGCUAUAUCUCUCAACACAUCUCUGCCUUCGUUUCCCAUAUUCUGUUAAUAUCGUAAAGUUGUUCAUCCAUUUGCUUCUCAUGAUCAAUGAGCUGAUGAUGGAAGAUAUUUAACUCCUUAACGGUUAAGAGCUUGAAGGAAAUUCUUUCAAAAGUAAACGUAACGUAUGAAUCGCGAAUAAAAUUCUUUGAGGCUGUUAAGUCGUAUUCGUUGAGUCGUGGUGGCCCAGAGGUCUAAGACGGGCGUCUUAUGUAUGAGGUCGCGGGUUCGACACCUACCAAGGGCAAGUACCAGUGUAACUUUUUCCGAGUUAUUGUACUUUCUAAGAUUAUUGAGAUAUCACUGAUGUCUAUCAGUGAAGGAAAACAUGGUGAGGAAAUCUGGACUUAUAAUUAUUCCUAAUUAUAAGUUUGAAAUCGCCAACCUGCAUUGAGCAAGCGUGCAUUUAUUGCUCAAACUUUUUCUGUAGUUAAAAGAAACCUUUGGUCAGCAGUGGCUACUUAUAGUCUGCUGAUGUAUGUGUAAUGAGGCUAUUAUAUUCACCUGAUCAUAUAAAGUAAAUUUUUAUAUAUUUGCAUUUUGUAUUUAUGUUCAAUUACUAUUUAGGUACAUUUAUUGUUAUUUAAUUGUCUCUAUUUAUUCUUUUAUUUUACUUUUUAAUUUCUUAUUUUGGCUGUAUAACGUAAUGGCACAAGCUGUAAUGUUGUAUAUGUGAAUUUGUAAAUAAAUAAAUUAAUUAAACAUC